CCUGGCUCAGGACGAACGCUGGCGGCGCGCCUAACACAUGCAAGUCGAACGAGCGAGAGAGAGCUUGCUUUCUCAAGCGAGUGGCGAACGGGUGAGUAACGCGUGAGGAACCUGCCUCAAAGAGGGGGACAACAGUUGGAAACGACUGCUAAUACCGCAUAAGCCCACGGGUCGGCAUCGACCAGAGGGAAAAGGAGCAAUCCGCUUUGAGAUGGCCUCGCGUCCGAUUAGCUAGUUGGUGAGGUAACGGCCCACCAAGGCAACGAUCGGUAACCGGACUGAGAGGUUGAACGGCCACAUUGGGACUGAGACACGGCCCAGACUCCUACGGGAGGCAGCAGUGGGGAAUAUUGCACAAUGGGGGAAACCCUGAUGCAGCGACGCCGCGUGGAGGAAGAAGGUCUUCGGAUUGUAAACUCCUGUUGUUGAGGAAGAUAAUGACGGUACUCAACAAGGAAGUGACGGCUAACUACGUGCCAGCAGCCGCGGUAAAACGUAUGUCACAAGCGUUGUCCGGAAUUACUGGGUGUAAAGGGAGCGCAGGCGGGAAGACAAGUUGGAAGUGAAAUCUAUGGGCUCAACCCAUAAACUGCUUUCAAAACUGUUUUUCUUGAGUAGUGCAGAGGUAGGCGGAAUUCCCGGUGUAGCGGUGGAAUGCGUAGAUAUCGGGAGGAACACCAGUGGCGAAGGCGGCCUACUGGGCACCAACUGACGCUGAGGCUCGAAAGUGUGGGUAGCAAACAGGAUUAGAUACCCUGGUAGUCCACACCGUAAACGAUGAUUACUAGGUGUUGGAGGAUUGACCCCUUCAGUGCCGCAGUUAACACAAUAAGUAAUCCACCUGGGGAGUACGACCGCAAGGUUGAAACUCAAAGGAAUUGACGGGGGCCCGCACAAGCAGUGGAGUAUGUGGUUUAAUUCGACGCAACGCGAAGAACCUUACCAAGUCUUGACAUCCCUUGACGAACAUAGAAAUAUGUUUUCUCUUCGGAGCAAGGAGACAGGUGGUGCAUGGUUGUCGUCAGCUCGUGUCGUGAGAUGUUGGGUUAAGUCCCGCAACGAGCGCAACCCUUACUGUCAGUUACUACGCAAGAGGACUCUGGCAGGACUGCCGUUGACAAAACGGAGGAAGGUGGGGAUGACGUCAAAUCAUCAUGCCCUUUAUGACUUGGGCUACACACGUACUACAAUGGCGUUAAACAAAGAGAAGCAAGACCGCGAGGUGGAGCAAAACUCAGAAACAACGUCCCAGUUCGGACUGCAGGCUGCAACUCGCCUGCACGAAGUCGGAAUUGCUAGUAAUCGUGGAUCAGCAUGCCACGGUGAAUACGUUCCCGGGCCUUGUACACACCGCCCG
rnacentral:rRNA from 1 species